rnacentral:rRNA from 1 species
GGCGAGUGAAGCGGCAACAGCUCAAAUUUGAAAUCUGGCGUCUUUGGCGUCCGAGUUGUAAUUUGCAGAGGAUGCUUCGGCGUAGGCGCCGCCUAAAGUUCCUUGGAACGGGACGUCGUAGAAGGUGAUAGCCCUGUGACAGGGCGGAUGCCGUCGCCAUGUGAAGCUCCUUCGACGAGUCGAGUUGUUUGGGAAUGCAGCUCAAAACGGGAGGUAAAUUUCUUCUAAAGCUAAAUACCGGCCGGAGACCGAUAGUGCACAAGUAGAGUGAUCGAAAGAUGAAAAGCACUUUGGAAAGAGAGUCAAACAGCGCGUGAAAUUGUUAAAAGGGAAGCGCUUGCGGUCAGAACUUGGCCGCCGUUGCUCGGGGAGGUCUCGUGCCUCCCUCGCUCUUCGGCGGCUGGGCCAGCAUCGGUUCGGGCGGCUCGAUAAAGGCCGCGGGAACGUAGCUCCCUCCGGGGAGUGUUAUAGCCCGCGGCGGAAUGGGGCCCGCCUGGAUCGAGGUCUGCGCAUCUGCUCGGAUGCUGGCGUAAUGGCCUCAAGCGGCCCGUCUUGAAACACGGACCAAGGAGUCUAACAUUCGUGCGAGUGUUCGGGUGUUAAACCCGUGCGCGCAAUGAAAGUGAACGUAGGUGGGAACCCCUCGUGGGCGCACCAUCGACCGAUCCUGAUGUCUUCGGAUGGAUUUGAGUAUGAGCACGUAUGUUGGGACCCGAAAGAUGGUGAACUAUGCGUAAACAGGGCGAAGCCAGAGGAAACUCUGGUGGAGGCUCGCAGCGGUUCUGACGUGCAAAUCGAUCGUCAAAUUCGCGCAUAGGGGCGAAAGACCAAUCGAACCAUCUAGUAGC